rnacentral:rRNA from 1 species
UACGUAGGUGACCAGCGUUGUCCGGAUUUACUGGGCGUAAAGAGCGCGCAGGCGGUCGUUCAAGUCGAGUGUGAAAGCCCCCGGCUCAACUGGGGAGGGUCACUCGAUACUGAUCGACUUGAAGGCAGGAGAGGGAAGCGGAAUUCCCGGUGUAGUGGUGAAAUGCGUAGAUAUCGGGAGGAACACCAGUGGCGAAGGCGACUACCUGGCCUGUUCUUGACGCUGAGGCGCGAAAGCGUGGGGAGCGAACGAGG